UGUAUAGAGCACAUAUGGUUGAGUGUCGUU
rnacentral:rRNA from 1 species